GGGAAGCUGGGAAGAGUGGAGGGAGGGUGGGACUGUAGUCAGGAUGGACUGUAUAAGAGAUGAAUCUAUGUUCAAUUAACAAAAUUUAAAAAACUAUACAACUCUAAAAGAAGAUUCUUCAAGUGUACAAUUGAAAAAUUACUAUAAAACAUUCAUUUGGUAGAAGGAAGCUGAAAAGAUAAAGCCUCUUGUAUGUCCUGCUGGAAAAUGACCACCUAAGAAAUGUUUUCUCUGUGCUUACUAAGAAAGAUUUACAAAGACCACACAGAUGUGGUCUUUGGGGAUAUUUUACAUCUUAAGUCUGAUAAUGGAACGUAGCAUUACUAGCUUAAGGGUUUGUUUUUGCAAAUCUGAAGACCAUUGGAGUGAGAAGCUUUAUAUCAAGGAUCUGGAAAACUACUGAAACCAGAGUCCAGAAAUGUGGGGUCAUUUGCCAAGGACAUUGACCAUACUGGGUGGAGCAGCUUCAAGAGAGAACCCAUGUAUUUUAUAAGCAACAGAGCUGGAGGUGCACGAUUCCCCAAGCCAGCUGGAAUACAGGCCUAUCAUGCCUCAAGAUUACUGCCAUGGAGCUUGAAUUGUCAUAUAAACCAUUCUGACCUCAGAGUCAUAAUACUCCUACCUUCCAAUUGAUACCAUCAUAGGUAUGUCACCUGACCUAGGAACCGGGUCAGUAUCUUAGAGAAGAAAUGAUCAUCUGGAUUACCUAGAAUGAACUAUGAGAACUGAUGGCUUUGCAUCCUUGUCCUGCCAUGUGUUUUGGCUCUGAGUUCCUGGGAGUUUGACAGGGCAUUCCUCUUCUUGGCUAAAAGUGGUGGGACAUGGGGCAAUCAUAUGGCAAAAGCAGCCACUGAAAGAUAUUCUUGGCAGGUUAACAAUCAUACCUUUUAAAAAGAGGACUUCAUCAAGAUACACAUCAAGUAAGUAUAUAAAACGAUACUGCUAUAAAGCCAAUUGAUACAAAUGUAGACAACAGGGAGCUGCCACUACCUGUCUCUUAGAUGCCAGAGUCCCUAACAGUGAAAGUCCUGGAGGCUAAGCUGUGAAUCAACAAGUUUUAUUUCUUCCUUCAGAGGGGUGUGGCAAUGUGGGAUGAAGGUUCAGAAGUUUCAUAGAAAACUAAACUUACAGAAUGAACCAUUAAUUGGACCCUGUGGAAUUUCUCCCAAGGACUUAGAAGCUUCUGUCUGUACAAAGACUUGCAAGCAGAUAUAUUUAGAAGCUUCUUCAUUCAUAGUAGCCAGAACUUGCAAGAAAACAAGAUGUCUUCUAGUAAGUGAAUUGAGAAGAAAACCAUGGUACAUCUGGACAGUGCUACAGAAUGAAAGUUCAAGACAUAAAAAGAAUGUGGGAACCUUAAAUGUUCAUUGUAAAGAUAAAAAAGCUCAGUUCUAUAGCAUAACAUAAUUCGUAUUUUAGGAUUUCUCAGCUAAGCUUGGAGCUCACUGAUAAGGCUAGUAUUAUUUGCCAGAUUUGUCUGGAGAUCCACAGUCUCUGCCUUCUGAACCUGCAGUGGGCAUCCUUUCCCACCCAGCAUGUACUUGGGUCUUCAAAUCAACUGUUAAUUCCUCUGGUUGAAAACAGAAGUACUCUUUUUCAGUUGUUUCAAUAAAAACAUUAGUGCAUUUUUUUUUUUUUUGUCAAAAACCAAUCUCAGAGAAGAAAUGAACUUGCAUGUCUUAACAACCAUGGCAUCUAGCAGAGAUAUAAUUACAUUAACCUCUAGAGAUAAGCAUCUACCUAGCCUUAAUUUGAACAAUAUAUAAAGAUGAUUCUGUAUAUUUGUACUGUAAAAUAGUUUCUGUGUGAAUGUUCUCUUACUGAGUCCUUUAUUGCAAGCAGACAAGGUAACAUUUUCCAAAUUUGAUGCCAAAGCUUCACUGUCAAUGGUGUCCCUACCCAGGGCAUUUGGGAUAGUAUGAGUAACAAGGCAAGGCAGUGUCCUAGAGCACAUCUUUAAUCUGAGCACUCAGGAGGCAGAGGUUGGAUCUGUUGUAACCAUUCAGGAGGGACCUGUCAUGAAGAGUCCACAAAUACUCAUCCCUUGCUUCUCCUUUGGGUGACAAAAAUUUUGGAGUCCUAGAACCAGCUGAAGAGGUUUUUCUUAUGACUGUAAUAAUUUUAGCUUUAGUAGAUUGUGGAACUGGAAGUCAAUUUGGUGUUGGAAGCAAGAAAAUGACAUCAGUCCUGCCUCAGACCCCAUGCCUCAGAACUGGAACCUUACCUACCUCUCUUCUCCCCAGGUAUAGUUUGUCAGCAUCUUUAUUCAAUCAGUAGUUUUAAAUUAAGGAGCAAGAUCACAUAGCAUUACUUAGUAUACAAAUUCUCUCAUCUCUGAGGGCAACCAGGGUUAGUAUUUAACAUUACAGGACAUAGCAACAGACUAAAUCUGUGUUCUCUCUCUCUCUCUCUCUCUCUCUCUCUCUCUCUCUCUCACACACACACACACACACACACACACACACACACACACGAAGCACUUUGAUGUCCAUGUUCCAGACUGCCUUUGGAGAUCAUGCUGAUGUCUCUGAUCUGCAUUGCUGCUGGAAACCAGGCUGCUAUGGUCAAGGAAGUUUCUUUUGCUUUUUUAAUUUUUUUAAAUUUAUUGCUGUAUAUCUCAACCUCAGCUCCCUUCUCCUCCCAGUAUCCCCUCACACAGAUCCUUCCCAGGUUCUACUCUCCCUUCUCCUUCGCAAACCCAGGGCUAAUACCCAGAGAGGAGCCCGUAAACAUUCUGAUGAAGGAGUAAACAUUCAGCAAUUCGUGAUGAUGUCCUUUCACAUGCUUCUCCUAUGUACCUCUGCAAAUCUGAAUAAAUGUGGGGAAAGAGGCAAGAAGGCAAGACCAUCAGAAGAAUCUAAAGUACACAAACAUUACUACAUUUGGGAAUAUAUCACUCAGAAAAUUUGUUUCCCAUCGAUAAAUCUACAACCUAGUCUGAGCCUGUGAAUUUUGCUUUCCAUUUGAUUAAAAUGUAAGUUUUGGUUCCAGCAGAGCCAGACCUACUGUUUUCAUUGUGUGCAAUGUUCAAGGCUAAGCUAGCCAUUCUGGUAAGUCCUCAAUUGUUAGUCAGUCUCAGAUUCCAACUCUGCUUUCCUUUCUGGUUCACCUGUGUCUAUAUAAAAACAUCAUUUAAUAGUAUUCAUUUUAAAUAAAAUCUUUUCCCCAAAAGAGAUGUGCCUUGAUGAUUCUGAAUCCUUCCAUCAUGGUUCUGAAGUGUUCCUCAAAUGACCAAAUGAUAAAAUGCUUGGUCACCGGCCUGAGACACCAACGCAAUACUAGAAGCUUUAAGAGGUCUUUCAGGGUGAGUCUAAACAGAGAAGAGAAGAAGAGAAGAGAAGAGAAGAGAAGAGAAGAGAAGAGAAGAGAAGAGAAGAGAAGAGAAAAGAAGAAGAGAAGAAGAAUCUCUGUGGAAAUAUUUGCAAAGUCAUAGCAAAGGAUAAUUGAAUUACACCUAUUGACAUGGGAAUAAAAGUUUUAAAUU
rnacentral:lncRNA from 1 species